rnacentral:rRNA from 1 species
AUCUAAAUACUACCCUGAACGCACCCAAUCUCUUCUGAUCUCGGAAGCUAAGCAGGGUCGGGCCAGGUUAGUACUUGGAAGUGAGUAAAUCACGAUGUUUAAAUA